rnacentral:rRNA from 1 species
CCUACGGGGGGCAGCAGUGGGGAAUAUUGGACAAUGGGGGAAACCCUGAUCCAGCGACGCCGCGUGAGUGAAGAAGUAUUUCGGUACGUAAAGCUCUAUCAGCAGGAAAGAAAAUGACGGUACCUGACUAAGAAGCCCCGGCUAACUACGUGCCAGCAGCCGCGGUAAUACGUAGGGGGCAAGCGUUAUCCGGAUUUACUGGGUGUAAAGGGAGCGUAGACGGCAGCGCAAGUCUGGAGUGAAAUGCCGGGGCUCAACCCCGGAACUGCUCUGGAAACUGUGAAGCUGGAGUGCAGGAGAGGUAAGCGGAAUUCCUGGUGUAGCGGUGAAAUGCGUAGAUAUCAGGAGGAACACCGGCGGCGAAGGCGGCUUACUGGACUGUAACUGACGUUGAGGCUCGAAGGCGUGGGGAGCAAACAGGAUUAGAUACCCGGGUAGUC